AUACGUAGGGUGCGAGCGUUGUCCGGAAUUACUGGGCGUAAAGAGCUCGUAGGUGGUUUGUCGCGUCGUCUGUGAAAUUCCGGGGCUUAACUCCGGGCGUGCAGGCGAUACGGGCAUAACUUGAGUACUGUAGGGGAGACUGGAAUUCCUGGUGUAGCGGUGAAAUGCGCAGAUAUCAGGAGGAACACCGGUGGCGAAGGCGGGUCUCUGGGCAGUAACUGGCGCUGGGGAGCGAAAGCAGGGGUAGCGAAAAGGAUUAGAUACCCUGGUAGUCCAUGCUGUAAACGGUGGGCGCUAGGUGUAGGGGUCUUCCACGACUGCUGUGCCGUAGCUAACGCAUUAAGCGCCCCGCCUGGGGAGUACGGCCGCAAGGCUAAAACUCAAAUGAAUUGACGGGG
rnacentral:rRNA from 1 species